GAUGAACGCUGGCGGCGUACCUAAUACAUGCAAGUCGAGCGAAAAGACGAGGAGCUUGCUCCUCUGACGUUAGCGGCGGACGGGAGAGUAACACGUGGAUAACCUACCUAUCAGACUGGGAUCACUACGGGAAACCGGAGCUAAUACCGGAUAAUAUAUUGCUCCGCAUGGUUCAAUAGAGAAAGACGGCUUUGCUGUGACUUCUCGCUGGAUACGCGCCGCAUUAGCUAGUUGGUAAGGUAACGGCUUACCAAGGCGACGAUGCGUAGCCGACCUGCGAGGGUGGUAGGCCACACUGGAGCUGAGACGCGGACCAUGCGCCUACGGGAGGCAGCAGUAGGGUAUCUGCCGCAAAGGGCGAAAGCCUUGCGGAGCAACGCCGCGUGUGUUAUGGAGGUCUUCGGAGCGUAAAACUCUGUUAUGAGGUAAGAACAAAUUUGGAAGUAACUAUGCACGGCGUGACGGUACCUAAUCAGAAAGCCACGGCUAACUACGUG
rnacentral:rRNA from 1 species